UACGUAGGGGGCAAGCGUUGUCCGGAUUUAUUGGGCGUAAAGAGCGUGUAGGCGGCUUGGUAGGUCCGCUGUGAAAACUCGAGGCUCAACCUCGAGAUGUCGGCGGAAACCACUUGGCUAGAGUCCGGAAGAGGAGAGUGGAAUUCCCAGUGUAGCGGUGAAAUGCGUAGAUAUUGGGAGGAACACCAGUGGCGAAGGCGGCUCACUGGACCGGAACUGACGCUGAGGCGCGAAAGCGUGGGGAGCAAACAGG
rnacentral:rRNA from 1 species